rnacentral:rRNA from 1 species
AGAGUUUGAUCAUGGCUCAGAUUGAACGCUGGCGGCAGGCCUAACACAUGCAAGUCGAACGGUAACAGGAAACAGCUUGCUGUUUCGCUGACGAGUGGCGGACGGGUGAGUAAUGUCUGGGAAACUGCCUGAUGGAGGGGGAUAACUACUGGAAACGGUAGCUAAUACCGCAUAACGUCGCAAGACCAAAGAGGGGGACCUUCGGGCCUCUUGCCAUCAGAUGUGCCCAGAUGGGAUUAGCUAGUAGGUGGGGUAACGGCUCACCUAGGCGACGAUCCCUAGCUGGUCUGAGAGGAUGACCAGCCACACUGGAACUGAGACACGGUCCAGACUCCUACGGGAGGCAGCAGUGGGGAAUAUUGCACAAUGGGCGCAAGCCUGAUGCAGCCAUGCCGCGUGUAUGAAGAAGGCCUUCGGGUUGUAAAGUACUUUCAGCGGGGAGGAAGGGAGUAAAGUUAAUACCUUUGCUCAUUGACGUUACCCGCAGAAGAAGCACCGGCUAACUCCGUGCCAGCAGCCGCGGUAAUACGGAGGGUGCAAGCGUUAAUCGGAAUUACUGGGCGUAAAGCGCACGCAGGCGGUUUGUUAAGUCAGAUGUGAAAUCCCCGGGCUCAACCUGGGAACUGCAUCUGAUACUGGCAAGCUUGAGUCUCGUAGAGGGGGGUAGAAUUCCAGGUGUAGCGGUGAAAUGCGUAGAGAUCUGGAGGAAUACCGGUGGCGAAGGCGGCCCCCUGGACGAAGACUGACGCUCAGGUGCGAAAGCGUGGGGAGCAAACAGGAUUAGAUACCCUGGUAGUCCACGCCGUAAACGAUGUCGACUUGGAGGUUGUGCCCUUGAGGCGUGGCUUCCGGAGCUAACGCGUUAAGUCGACCGCCUGGGGAGUACGGCCGCAAGGUUAAAACUCAAAUGAAUUGACGGGGGCCCGCACAAGCGGUGGAGCAUGUGGUUUAAUUCGAUGCAACGCGAAGAACCUUACCUGGUCUUGACAUCCACGGAAGUUUUCAGAGAUGAGAAUGUGCCUUCGGGAACCGUGAGACAGGUGCUGCAUGGCUGUCGUCAGCUCGUGUUGUGAAAUGUUGGGUUAAGUCCCGCAACGAGCGCAACCCUUAUCCUUUGUUGCCAGCGGUCCGGCCGGGAACUCAAAGGAGACUGCCAGUGAUAAACUGGAGGAAGGUGGGGAUGACGUCAAGUCAUCAUGGCCCUUACGACCAGGGCUACACACGUGCUACAAUGGCGCAUACAAAGAGAAGCGACCUCGCGAGAGCAAGCGGACCUCAUAAAGCGCGUCGUAGUCCGGAUUGGAGUCUGCAACUCGACUCCAUGAAGUCGGAAUCGCUAGUAAUCGUGGAUCAGAAUGCCACGGUGAAUACGUUCCCGGGCCUUGUACACACCGCCCGUCACACCAUGGGAGUGGGUUGCAAAAGAAGUAGGUAGCUUAACCUUCGGGAGGGCGCUUACCACUUUGUGAUUCAUGACUGGGGUGAAGUCGUAACAAGGUAACCGUAGGGGAACCUGCGGUUG